UGUUAUAAUUGUUACUACCAAAGUACUACUUGUCAUUCACUGCUUCAUGUAUUGGUUUAUGUAUUAGUUCAUACUAGUUGAUUUCGGAAGCUUCUCUCUGUAUGGAGCCAGUUCAGCUCCAGCCGGCAAGCGGGUAGCCGCUCCUUAAUACAUUGUUACCCCUGGAGUCCAUCUCUUACUACGUCUCAAUCCUGCAGUUAUUACAUUGGCGACGAGGAUGGGAUCUAUUGGCAAAGUAGAAGAAUUUAACCAGGAUGCCGAGGUGUGGACUCAAUAUGUGGAGCGGCUGGAGCAUUUUUUGAAGCCAACGACAUUAUUGAAGAGAAAAAAAAGAAAUCUACUUUAUUGGCUGUUUGUGGAGCAAGAACCUACGAAGUGAUAAGGUCACUCUGCCUACCAGAGAAGCCAGCCGACAAGUCGUACAGUGACCUCAAAGUGCUGUUGGAGAAUCACAUGUGCCCGAAACCGUCAGUAAUCAUGAAGCGCUUCAAAUUCAACUCACGAUUCAAGCAACCAACUGAAUCUGUGUCUUCUUACAUUACUGACCUUCGGAAAUUAGCGGAGCACUGUGCGUACGGAAACCAACUACCUGACAUGUUACGAGAUCGUCUGGUGUGUGGAAUUGACGACCGAAAAAUACAAGCAAGGUUGUUGGCAGAUGGGAAUUUGGACUUCAAGAAGGCAGAGGCAACUGCUCUGGCUAUGGAGGCUGCGGCAAAAGACACUGAAGACCUACAACAGGCUGGGGAGUACCGCAGCAGUCAAGUGAACAAGAUUCAGGAGAGGCGCGGGGAAGGAAGAAAAAUUCAAGAGACACCGUGGGUGCGAACGAAUCCUCGACCACAGUGCUACAGGUGUGGGGGUCCGCAUGUGGCUCCCUAGCUGUCAUUUUGCACGUGCUACCUGUUUUAAAUGUAAGAAAGUGGGACACUUGGCAAGGAUGUGUCGAAAUAAAGCAGACAUGGAAAGGAAAAUGCACAAGAUUGAGGGUGAAGAGGAGGACGGUGAGACAACUGGGGAAGAAUACACCUUGUAUACAGUGCGGGGGGCUCGUGAACCACCUGUGAUUGUUCACCCAGAAGUUAACAAGGUGGCUAUUCCCAUGGAAGUGGAUACUGGUGCUGCGGUGUCCAUUAUAAGUCCAGAAAGAGUAUGAAGAAAGCUGGAAGGAUACGUGCAAGCCGGUGCUCGAGUAUUCCGACGUAGUGUUACGCACCUACAGUGGAGACUUAUUGAAAGUGAUGGGGGAAGUGAAUGUGGAGGUUAAUUAUAACAACCAGUCGAAAGUUCUGCCGUUGGUGGUAGUGGAUGGAGACGGCCCGAGUUUGAUGGGGAGAAACUGGUUGAAACAAAUUAAGCUAGACUGGGCUGCAGUUUAUAGUUGUCGGUCAGAGUGUGAUAAGGUCAUUCGCAGUUUUAGUAAUGUUUUCAAAGAGGAGUUGGGUCUCAUCAGAAACACAAAGGCGACCCUACAUGUGGAUAAGGAGGCACAACCCAAGUUUUUCAAAGCUCGCCCGUUGCCCUACGCCUUGAAAGACAAAGUGGAGCACGAGUUGGAACGGCUAGUUAACGAUGGAGUAAUUGAACCUGUGCAGUUCUCCAGAGUGGGCGGCGCCAAUAGUCCCGAUAGUUAAGGGAGACAAAUCCAUACGUAUUUGUGGGGACUACAAGAUGACUGUGAACCGCGUGUCUAGAGUGGACAGUUACCCGAUACCGAAGGUUGAGGAUUUAUUAGCAAAUUUGUCAGGAGGGAAGACUUUUUCAAAAUUAGACCUGUCACAUGCUUAUUCACAACUACCACUGGAAGAGGAAUCAAAAAAAUAUGUAACGAUAAAUACACAUAAGGGGUUAUUCGUAUAUAAUCGCUUACCAUACGGAUUGGGAGCAGUCCUUGCACACCGUUUGGAGUCUGGAGAGGAGAAACCGAUUGCUUUCGCAUCCCGAUCCCUGAGCAUAGCUGAACGCAAGUAUGCUCAGGUAGAGAAAGAAGGUUUGGCAAUAAUAUUUGGUGUUAAGAAAUUUCAUAAUUACUUGUAUGGCCGCCAUUUUGAGAUCAUUUCAGACCAUCAGCCACUUAAAAGUCUGUUUAAUGAAACUCGCCCAGUGCCUGUGAUGGCAUCAAGUCGUAUCCAACGCUGGGCGCUAACACUAUCGGCGUAUGAAUACACUAUCACCCACAAACCAGGGAAAAAUAUAGUACAUGCUGAUGGGUUGAGUCGCCUUCCUCUCCCUGAAUUCCCCAAGGUGACUCCAGUCCCCGGUGAUGUGGUAUGCGUGUUGGAGAGACUGAGACCAGACACCCGUCACGUCGAGAGAGUUAAGGCAAUGGACGGAUAAGGACUCAACACUCUCGAAGGUGCAGUUGCUAGAUGGGAGGACUGUACGACGUCAUCUCGACUAUGUGAGGAGAAGAGUAAGCAUAGAGGGCGAGACGGUUAACGCAGAUGAUGCCAUACCACCUCCCAUGGACCUCACAAAUGGAGCAGGAAUUCAGAAACAUGGUUCGGCACCGGCAGGCAGCGUGUCGCCCCUAAAGGCAGGAGUUUCGAAGCAGUCCGGAGCACACAACAGCAACGCGCCGGAUCAAAUUCAAGAACGAGAGUUAACCUCAAGUCAAGAGUUCGAACCUGGAUUGCCGCCACAACAGCAGCCGUUGGAGAGGGAAACACUGCGCCGUUCUGAGAGACUGCGCCAGAAGCCAGAUCGUUUGCAGAUAGCUUGGAAAUAAAAUGUUAGGUCUCUUGCUUCACUUGUGUUAACUAUUUUAAUUGUUGGAGUUUUGUAUUACUUUUGCUAGUUUUAGUUACUAUGUUUAUUUUGUUUUUUGUCUCGUGUUUGCGGGUUUUAGCGUUUCUUAUAACUUGUAUCGAAUAUUUUUUUUCUAGUCUUUCUAAUUGAUAAGUUUUAGUAUCUUCUGUAUCUUUUUUUUAACAUUUUGGUUGUAAACUUGAUUUUAUGGUUUCUAACCUGAGUUUUUUAAAAAAAGGGAGGAGUGUUAUAAUUGUUACUACCAAAGUACUACUUGUCAUUCACUGCUUCAUGUAUUGGUUUAUGUAUUAGUUCAUACUAGUUGAUUUCGGAAGCUUCUCUCUGUAUGGAGCCAGUUCAGCUCCAGCCGGCAAGCGGGUAGCCGCUCCUUAAUACAUUGUUACCCCUGGA